CUGUUUCCCUGGCUGGAGCUGAAACCCCAGAAUGUCUGGCCAGAGCAGAAGGAAGCAGACCAGAGCAGGUCAGAGCACAGCUGCCUAGCUGGAGAAGGGCCUGGCCCCAGGGCCACCUGGCCCCAGGGCUGCCUCACGGAGUACACAUUUUUACCACCCAAUUGCCAUAAAGAACUGCUUUUUUGUCCUCCAGCAGCUGUGCCUUUCAAAAUCUGGUUCUUUUAAGUACACAUUUUAAACUCUUCCUCUCUGUUUUUCCUUAUGCAACUAAGAGUCUGUCACAUACUGCGAUAAGCCAGUGCUUGCAAUCCCCAAAGCUUCCAUGGUCUGGCAGGAAACAUAAAUAAGAGAAACGGGCAAGACAGAACACACCAAACAGGAGUGGGGAAGCGAGGAACCAAACUGUCUCCAUCCACAGGCAUU